GUCCUCAGAGGACUCCUUGUCUGGUGAUAUUUUCUUGCUUUAUUGAUCAUGGAUGAGCUUCGGAUUGCGAUACGAGAAGCAGAGAUUCUUCACAGAAUGAGCAACUGGGGUCUUUUCUCUACCUUCGAUGGUUCUUAUGAUCCAAGAACUUCCAACGGAAAGUUUGACGUCGACGAGUUACGGCGGGCGAAGCUCGAAGAACAGAAACGCGAAUUAGCGAGGUCGCGAGCGAGGAAAGAAAAUCGAGAGUUCGAGGUGGUGCUGCAAGAGGUGGAGUUUGAGGUUAUGGUUCAACUAGGAAAAAUCUUGGCGAAGACUAUUGAUCCCGUGCUGAAAGGAUUGAAGAAGGUGGAGGGUGAAGAAGGAGAGGUUUGUGGGGUUUGUCAAGAGGAGAUAGAGAUGGGAGAGGAAGUUAGAGCUAUGGAGUGCAUGCAUAGGUUUCAUGGGUUUUGUAUAGUUCAGUGGUUGAAGAGGAAGAAGAAGACUUGUCCUUUGUGCAGAUACGAGAUGCAAAUCCAGUAUCCCUGAUUUUGAUGAUGAUUUCUAUAGCAGAGUUCUGUUUCUCUCUCUUUUUUUUCUCUUUAAAUUUUUUGAUAUUCAUUCUUUUAAGUGAUUUUGGAUUGUUUGCAAAGUUUAUAAG
rnacentral:misc_RNA from 1 species